rnacentral:tRNA from 1 species
UCCGCGCUGGUGUAACUGGCAGCACGCCGGUCUUUGGAACCGGAUGGUCGAGGUUCAAACCCUCGGCGCGGAGCCA